rnacentral:tRNA from 1 species
UCCCUAGAGGACUAGUGGUUAGGCCAAGGUGGUCUCACCGCCCCGGCCUGGCUUCGAUUCCCGGCCAGGGAA